UAGAUUCCAGGUGUAGCGGUGAAAUGCGUAGAGAUCUGGAGGAAUACCGGUGGCGAAGGCGCCCCUGGACGAAGACUGACGCUCAGGUGCGAAAGCGUGGGGAGCAAACAGGAUUAGAUACCUGGUAGUCCACGCCGUAAACGAUGUCGACUUGGAGGUUGUGCCCUUGAGGCGUGGCUUCCGGAGCUAACGCGUUAAGUCGACCGCCUGGGGAGUACGGCCGCAAGGUUAAAACUCAAAUGAAUUGACGGGGGCCCGCACAAGCGGUGGAGCAUGUGGUUUAAUUCGAUGCAACGCGAAGAACCUUACCUGGUCUUGACAUCCACAGAACUUUCCAGAGAUGGAUUGGUGCCUUCGGGAACUGUGAGACAGGUGCUGCAUGGCUGUCGUCAGCUCGUGUUGUGAAAUGUUGGGUUAAGUCCCGCAACGAGCGCAACCCUUAUCUUUUGUUGCCAGCGGUCCGGCCGGGAACUCAAAGGAGACUGCCAGUGAUAAACUGGAGGAAGGUGGGGAUGACGUCAAGUCAUCAUGGCCCUUACGACCAGGGCUACACACGUGCUACAAUGGCGCAUACAAAGAGAAGCGACCUCGCGAGAGCAAGCGGACCUCAUAAAGUGCGUCGUAGUCCGGAUUGGAGUCUGCAACUCGACUCCAUGAAGUCGGAAUCGCUAGUAAUCGUGGAUCAGAAUGCCACGGUGAAUACGUUCCCGGGCCUUGUACACACCGCCCGUCACACCAUGGGAGUGGGUUGCAAAAGAAGUAGGUAGCUUAACCUUCGGGAGGGCGCUUACCACUUUGUGAUUCAUGACUGGGGUGAAGUCGUAACAAGGUAACCGUAGGGGAACCUGCGGCUGGAUCACCUCCUU
rnacentral:rRNA from 1 species